UAGCGGCGGACGGGUGAGUAACACGUAGGCAACCUGCCUAUAUUUCUGGGAUAACUAUCGGAAACGAUAGCUAAGACCGGAUAAUUGGUUUUCUCGCAUGAGAGAAUCAUGAAACACGGAGCAAUCUGUGGCUUAUAGAUGGGCCUGCGGCGCAUUAGCUAGUUGGUAGGGUAACGGCCUACCAAGGCGACGAUGCGUAGCCGACCUGAGAGGGUGAACGGCCACACUGGGACUGAGACACGGCCCAGACUCCUACGGGAGGCAGCAGUAGGGAAUCUUCCGCAAUGGACGCAAGUCUGACGGAGCAACGCCGCGUGAGUGAUGAAGGUUUUCGGAUCGUAAAGCUCUGUUGCCCUAGACGAACAGCAAGGCGAGUAACUGCGCUUUGUGUGACGGUAUAGGAGAAGAAAGCCCCGGCUAACUACGUGCCAGCAGCCGCGGUAAUACGUAGGGGGCAAGCGUUGUCCGGAAUUAUUGGGCGUAAAGCGCGCGCAGGCGGUUAAUUAAGUUGGGUGUUUAAGCCCGGGGCUCAACCCCGGUUCGCAUCCAAAACUGGUUGACUUGAGUGUAGGAGAGGAAAGUGGAAUUCCACGUGUAGCGGUGAAAUGCGUAGAGAUGUGGAGGAACACCAGUGGCGAAGGCGACUUUCUGGCCUAUAACUGACGCUGAGGCGCGAAAGCGUGGGGAGCAAACAGGAUUAGAUACCCUGGUAGUCCACGCCGUAAACGAUGCAUACUAGGUGUUGGGGAUUCGAUUCCUCGGUGCCGAAGUUAACACAGUAAGUAUGCCGCCUGGGGAG
rnacentral:rRNA from 1 species